rnacentral:misc_RNA from 1 species
UAUGCACAGGGUGUUAAACAUA